GAUGAACGCUGGCGGCGUGCCUAAUACAUGCAAGUCGAGCGAACAGACGAGGAGCUUGCUCCUCUGACGUUAGCGGCGGACGGGUGAGUAACACGUGGAUAACCUACCUAUAAGACUGGGAUAACUUCGGGAAACCGGAGCUAAUACCGGAUAAUAUAUUGAACCGCAUGGUUCAAUAGUGAAAGACGGUUUUGCUGUCACUUAUAGAUGGAUCCGCGCCGCAUUAGCUAGUUGGUAAGGUAACGGCUUACCAAGGCAACGAUGCGUAGCCGACCUGAGAGGGUGAUCGGCCACACUGAGACUGAGACACGGUCCAGACUCCUACGGGAGGCAGCAGUAGGGAAUCUUCCGCAAUGGGCGAAAGCUUGACGGAGCAACGCCGCGUGAGUGAUGAAGGUCUUCGGAUCGUAAAACUCUGUUAUUAGGGAAGAACAAAUGUGUAAGUAACUAUGCACGUCUUGACGGUACCUAAUCAGAAAGCCACGGCUAACUACGUG
rnacentral:rRNA from 1 species